CACAUGCAGUCGAACGAAGCACCUUGAUUUGAUUCUUCGGAUGAAGAUCUUGGUGACUGAGUGGCGGACGGGUGAGUAACGCGUGGGUAACCUGCCUCAUACAGGGGGAUAACAGUUAGAAAUGACUGCUAAUACCGCAUAAGACCACAGCACCGCAUGGUGCAGGGGUAAAAACUCCGGUGGUAUGAGAUGGACCCGCGUCUGAUUAGGCAGUUGGUGGGGUAACGGCCUACCAAGCCGACGAUCAGUAGCCGACCUGAGAGGGUGACCGGCCACAUUGGGACUGAGACACGGCCCAAACUCCUACGGGAGGCAGCAGUGGGGAAUAUUGCACAAUGGGGGAAACCCUGAUGCAGCGACGCCGCGUGAGCGAUGAAGUAUUUCGGUAUGUAAAGCUCUAUCAGCAGGGAAGAAAAUGACGGUACCUGGCUAAGAAGCACCGGCUAAAUACGUGCCAGCAGCCGCGGUAAUACGUAUGGUGCAAGCGUUAUCCGGAUUUACUGGGUGUAAAGGGAGCGUAGACGGAGUGGCAAGUCUGAUGUGAAAACCCGGGGCUCAACCCCGGGACUGCAUUGGAAACUGUCAAUCUAGAGUACCGGAGAGGUAAGCGGAAUUCCUAGUGUAGCGGUGAAAUGCGUAGAUAUUAGGAGGAACACCAGUGGCGAAGGCGGCUUACUGGACGGUAACUGACGUUGAGGCUCGAAAGCGUGGGGAGCAAACAGGAUUAGAUACCCUGGUAGUCCACGCCGUAAACGAUGACUACUAGGUGUCGGGCAGCAAAGCUGUUCGGUGCCGCAGCAAACGCAAUAAGUAGUCCACCUGGGGAGUACGUUCGCAAGAAUGAAACUCAAAGGAAUUGACGG
rnacentral:rRNA from 1 species